GACGAACGCUGGCGGCGUGCCUAAUACAUGCAAGUAGAACGCACAGUAUAUACCGUAGCUUGCUACACCAUAGACUGUGAGUUGCGAACGGGUGAGUAACGCGUAGGUAACCUGCCUGGUAGCGGGGGAUAACUAUUGGAAACGAUAGCUAAUACCGCAUAAUAUUAAUUAUUGCAUGAUAAUUGAUUGAAAGAUGCAACUGCAUCACUACCAGAUGGACCUGCGUUGUAUUAGCUAGUAGGUGAGGUAACGGCUCACCUAGGCGACGAUACAUAGCCGACCUGAGAGGGUGAUCGGCCACACUGGGGCUGAGACACGGCCCAGACUCCUACGGGAGGCAGCAGUAGGGAAUCUUCGGCAAUGGACGAAAGUCUGACCGAGCAACGCCGCGUGAGUGAAGAAGGUUUUCGGAUCGUAAAGCUCUGUUGUAAGAGAAGAACGGGUGUGAGAGUGGAAAGUUCACACUGUGACGGUAUCUUACCAGAAAGGGACGGCUAACUACGUGCCAGCAGCCGCGGUAAUACGUAGGUCCCGAGCGUUGUCCGGAUUUAUUGGGCGUAAAGCGAGCGCAGGCGGUUAGAUAAGUCUGAAGUUAAAGGCUGUGGCUUAACCAUAGUACGCUUUGGAAACUGUUUAACUUGAGUGCAGAAGGGGAGAGUGGAAUUCCAUGUGUAGCGGUGAAAUGCGUAGAUAUAUGGAGGAACACCGGUGGCGAAAGCGGCUCUCUGGUCUGUAACUGACGCUGAGGCUCGAAAGCGUGGGGAGCGAACAGG
rnacentral:rRNA from 1 species